UCCCUCCUCAAACCCUGGGUUUGGUGUUGGACCAAAGUUGGUGCCCUGCUGCGGCGUGGCGACCAACUGGUCUCAAAGACAAUGACGGCGUCCGUGGGACCCUCUUCGCAACGAGCUUUCCGGAGCACGCGUCGAGUGUCAAGGACCCUCGGGCCCGGUCGUACCUGUCGAGACGUCUCGGCGUCUCCUCUGUAA
rnacentral:misc_RNA from 1 species